AACUCCCUCGACUGCAGCCAUUAGCUACUCUCCAUGCCUCACAGGUGGCUGGGUGUGAAGUACAAGGUCUCUGCACAACACGUCAGGCAGUUUGAGAUCAGGAAACCAAACUAAGUGUUGGCUCAUCAGGAGGCGCUCUGAUGGAAGACUGACAGCUAAACAGAGAUAUAAAAUAUGAAACAUUUCCUCUGUGAAUGGAACAAACUAGAUUUCUUGGCGCGUCUGAGGCUGAAGCGCAGCGCGGACCGUAAAACCAAACGACUGAAAGGCCCGGCAGGAACGGCUAUACAGGCGGGCUCGAGACCAAACAGAAAAUCAAUUAUUCUCGCCACAAAACUGGACAAAAACGUAUGAAGUUACCCAUAAAAGAAAAAUGGCAACAACAGUUCUACGAUAAUUUUGUUGAGUUUUAAGAAACAAAAUACACUCCUGCCUCCUGAUUAGCAUUAAAACCCCUUUAAAAAUAUUCAGCUCUCCAAAAAACAAAAACAAAAAACAUGUGACAGGCACUUGAUUGUUUCAGUUGCUGGUUGUGAAGCUGCCUUUGGUCCAGAGCUGACAGCAGGGAACAUAAUGAUGAUAAUAAAUAAACAGGAGCCGGCCUCCACGCGACCUGCAGGCGAGAGGCCGGUCGUCCUCCGCUACGCGAGCCUGAUAAGGUUAUCUGCCUCCGCCACCAGGCGCAGAGACGAGCGGCAGCAGGAAUCUGACUUCCAAGACACCGCGUGGAUGUGGGCGUAGCCGCUGACGCGAGUCCGACUAUCAUCUGCUCUGUGGCGAUAUCGGGAAGAGACGGCACGCUGCAGCACUCGGCUUCCAGCGUUAACAGCUAAUAAUAGGGGUCACUGGAAAUAGAAGUGUGGAGGUUUGCAGCCGGUGAGGAGGGCUGCCUGUCGCCUUCACAUUCAUCAAUACUCAAGUCUGAGAGGGGGAGACGUUCCGUCUGUCCUCCCAUGACCACAAAAGGGGGUUCAAACGCAGCGUGCACCUGCCGGACAGGAAGUGACUCAGCACAGACGCAUGUAAGGCCGAGCCGGUCCCCAGGAGGGCUCGGAGGAUAAUAAUAGCUGGAGUCGAGCUGUGCGUCAGAGGAGGAUCCCGUUUCAGGGAGCCUGCGAGGGACAAGCCCUGCGGGGCCCCACCGUGUGCGGCGCCUUUUAAGGGAAGAGCUGCCGGUCGGCGGGCCCGUCACGCCGCUCCCCUGCUACGGGUCACCAUCCGACCAGAACAGACUGCAGGUCACUCGCAACUUCUUCUGAAAGCAACUUAAAAACAGAGGCAAAGAAACGAUGAAAAACAACGAGACAUUUCCACUCCAAGCCGGGCUCAACUGGGAAAACUGAACCCCGUGAUUCUGGGCCUGAAGUUCACAGUGGAAAAUCUUAAUACAUAAUAAAGUUUUGCAUUGUGUACAAAUAUCAGGCACUGCUGGCAUGUAUAGGGCUGGCACAUUGUCAAAGAUGAAAACAAACCGCUGACUAAUCCUUACUUCCUGUCUUUUAGCAAGCGCAUCCCAAAUCCUCCCCAAUGUAAUUUUGCUUCAUUUUUUUCAGCCUUUUUCUGAUUUUUUUUUUUUUUUUAAACAAACAAGAAGGAACCCAAACUGAAGGCUACAGCAUUUACAUUUUCCCUUUUCUUCUAACAGUCCAUACUCAAAACUCUGGAGUAAACCUGAUACCUCUAGGUUAAGGCACAAACACAUCUCCAUUAAGAUUAAAGGCAUAUACCAAGUCAAAAAA